rnacentral:lncRNA from 10 species
CGGGGAGGAGGGACGGCCACCGGGGGCCGCCCGGGGCUGCUCGGCAUUGGUGCGGAAACCCGAGCCCGGAGUCGCUCCCUCGCGCUGUCUCCUCCUCCUCCUCUGCGGGGGAAACCGCUGCACCCAAACCGGGAGCAGCUGCGAGCAGGGGGCAGGGCGCGGGCUGAAAGGCGAGCCGAAGGUUCAAACCUCCGCGGCGCGGGCGGGGGCGGAGGGCAACAGCAGGACGGCCCCCAGGUCCCGAGAAGGCGUGGCAGUGGUCGGCCCAGGUGUCAGGGAACCUGGCCUGAGACCCCUGCAUUUCCAAGCUUCUUUCCUGGUCAGAGGAAACGUGAACCAAAGGUAGUUCAGCUAAACAGACCACCUCGAGCCGGGUUCGAGGCAUCUGUCUCGAGGGCAAGACAGUAUUUUUUGCACGACAGAAAGUUACACCAUCCAUUUUUUUCCGUGGGGGAAAUCAUUGCGCCCCUUCCCCCAAAAUGUCGCGCAAGAAGAAUGACCUCCCGCUACCCAGACCUUCGCCAGUGUCCCCCACCCCACCCCCACCCGGGCGCUGGGUGUGGAUUGGGCGGAGGGAGGCUAUAUGGGAGCUUAAAGCAUGAGGUCAUGAGCGGAGGAGACUGCUGCCAAAAGCACCCGAGGUUUUUGUGUUUUUUGAGGGGUAACGGUUCUCCAUCUUCAGCAGUGGAAAGUCCUCCCGCCUACCCUACCAAUUCUGGGGCACGUGGACCACAGAGUCCCUGAAAAGAGGAGGGGACCCGGGCUAUUUCGCUUAAUGAGCGUUUGGCGCGUGCCCAGCCCUUUAUGGAGCCCUUCCACAUAAGCAAAGAAAGCCGAGGGACAGCGCACAGUGUUGCGGCGACUGGGAAAGGCUUCAGAUGCUCGAUGUCCCCCGCCCUCUUUCCUCAGUCCUCGGUCAUCUUCCAAGUGGGCUGCUUUCUGCGAUAGCUUCCUGUCCCCCUCCGACCCAUUCCUCCCAAGCGACUAAAACUCCUAAUGACAUUAUUUUAAAGCCUUCAAAACCCUCUUCCAUUGCCCUUAGAAUAAAGCCAAGUUGUGAUUUCGCCUCUACAGACCUCUCUACCCGCCCAGCUCUUCCUCGGAUAUUCUCCUAAACCAGAAGCUGCAGAGAAGGAAGGAUUUGGGAUUUGCGGCUACACAGCCAAGGACGCUUUUGUCAUCUUCAAAGGACCCCCUACACCCUACACGCUUGGCCCGCUCUGUUCAUUGCCAACAGAGUGAUGAGAUGAGGUUCCACCAUUCUUGCCCAGACUGGUUUCGAACUCCUGGACUCAAGCGAUUUGCCUGCCUCGGCCUCAAAAAGUGCUGGGAUUACAUGCAUGAGCCACCACACCCGGACCCUCUCUCUUAAAUAGUGGCCCUUUUGCCUCUCUGCAACACAGGAAAAAUUCUGUUAGCCUGCAUCAGAAGGAGUGGCAUGGAGGCUUUGGAGUUAAGAAGAUUUAAUUCAAAUUAUGUGUCCGGUGCCUGCCAGCAAUGAGACCUUGGUAAGGUUUCUUAACCUCUCUGAGCUGGGACCAUACCUUCUGCGUUGGUUUAAUAUAAAGGUUAAAUGCAUGUAAAUAAAUGACUUCUAAAAUAAAUAACAUUCUAAAAUGUUAGUAACAACUAAAUACAAUAUUUAGAUCUUGUGAGGAUUUGAUUUGAAUAAAUAAGAUUUUUUUAAAAGACAUUUUUGAGACAAAAUGUAGACUAUCUGAUAUUAAGAAAUUAAUCACUUUUUCAGAUAUGAUAAUGGCAUUGCAGUUUUUUUUAAGUUCUUAUCUAUUACAGAUACAUAAUGAGGCAUUUUGAGUGAAAAUAUAUCUAGGAUUUGCUUUCCAAUACUCCAUCCCCUCCCCAUCAAAACACUAAAUAAAUGAAACAAGAUUAGUGAAAUACGGAAAAUUGUUGAAGUUAUUCAUUAUUCCAUUUCCCAUAUGGAACUUUCCAUACUAGUUUCCCUACUGCUGUUGAAUAUUUGACAUGUUUCAAAUACAUUUGAAAUAAAUUUAUUGUCUGAGAUGAUCAGGUUGAAAAAUAAUAAAAUGAAAUAAAUUUAAAAGUAAAAUAAACAUAACCCUUUUAAGCAUUAAAAUUAAAAAUUAUGAGGCUUGUUGAAUUAUUACUGUUAUAAAUAAUUACAUACAUGUAUUUUUGAAACAGUCUUGCUCUUUCACCCAGGCUGCAGUGCAGUGGCAUAAUCACAGUUCACUGCGGCCUCAACCUCCCAGGCUCAGGUGAUCCUUGCACGUCUGCCUCCCAAGUAGCUGGGACUGCAGGUGUGCACCACCAUGCCUGGCUAAAUUUUUCUCUUUUGUAGAGACGGGUUUUGCGAUUUUGCCCACACUGGUCUUAAAGUCCUGGG